UGAUCCUGCCAGUAGUCAUAUGCUUGUCUCAAAGAUUAAGCCAUGCAUGUCUAAGUGACAAUACUAGAUCUAUUGAACUGCGAACGGCUCAUUAAAACAGUUAUGGUGGUUUGGUUUAUUCUUACAUGGAUAACCGUGGGAAACCAAGGCUAAUACGCGAGAGGCUUUUUUAAAAGCUGCUUAUUAGUUAGUGACUUUCUAUUAGAUGGUUCUGAGUAAUCAAAUGUAUCGAAGAUUCCUAGCGAUGGACCAUUCUAGUUUCUGACCUAUCAGCUUUCGACGGUUGGGUAUUGGCCCACCGUGGCUAUGACGGGUAACGGGGAAUUGGGGUUUGAUUCCGGAGAGGGAGCCUGAGAAAUGGCUACCACGUCUAAGGAUGGCAGCAGGCGCGUAAAUUACCCAAUCCUAACGCAGGGAGGUAGUGACAAGAAAUAGCAACGCGGGGCUAUGCUUCGUGAUUGCAAUGGAUGGAAUUUAAACGUUUCCAUGAAUCGAUUGGAGGGCAAGUC
rnacentral:rRNA from 1 species